rnacentral:rRNA from 1 species
AGUCGAGCGAACGGACGAGAAGCUUGCUUUUCUGAUGUUAGCGGCGGACGGGUGAGUAACACGUGGAUAACCUACCUAUAAGACUGGGAUAACUUCGGGAAACCGGAGCUAAUACCGGAUAAUAUUUUGAACCGCAUGGUUCACAAGUGAAAGACGGUCUUGCUGUCACUUAUGGAUGGAUCCGCGCUGCAUUAGCUAGUUGGUAAGGUAACGGCUUACCAAGGCAACGAUGCAUAGCCGACCUGAGAGGGUGAUCGGCCACACUGGAACUGAGACACGGUCCAGACUCCUACGGGAGGCAGCAGUAGGGAAUCUUCCGCAAUGGGCGAAAGCCUGACGGAGCAACGCCGCGUGAGUGAUGAAGGUCUUCGGAUCGUAAAACUCUGUUAUUAGGGAAGAACAUAUGUGUAAGUAACUGUGCACAUCUUGACGGUACCUAAUCAGAAAGCCACGGCUAACUACGUGCCAGCAGCCGCGGUAAUACGUAGGUGGCAAGCGUUAUCCGGAAUUAUUGGGCGUAAAGCGCGCGUAGGCGGUUUUUUAAGUCUGAUGUGAAAGCCCACGGCUCAACCGUGGAGGGUCAUUGGAAACUGGAAAACUUGAGUGCAGAAGAGGAAAGUGGAAUUCCAUGUGUAGCGGUGAAAUGCGCAGAGAUAUGGAGGUACACCAGUGGCGAAGGCGACUUUCUGGUCUGUAACUGACGCUGAUGUGCG